rnacentral:rRNA from 1 species
CGGUAACAGAACUAGCUUGCUAGUUGCUGACGAGUGGCGGACGGGUGAGUAAUACUUAGGGAUCUGCCUCUGUGUGGGGGAUAACUAUUGGAAACGAUAGCUAAUACCGCAUAACGUCUACGGACCAAAGAGGGCUUCGGCUCUCGCGCAGAGAGGAACCUAAGCGAGAUUAGCUUGUUGGUGAGGUAAAGGCUCACCAAGGCGACGAUCUCUAGCUGUUCUGAGAGGAAGAUCAGCCACACUGGAACUGAGACACGGUCCAGACUCCUACGGGAGGCAGCAGUGGGGAAUAUUGCACAAUGGGGGCAACCCUGAUGCAGCCAUGCCGCGUGUGUGAAGAAGGCCUUCGGGUUGUAAAGCACUUUCAGUUGUGAGGAAAGGUUAGUAGUUAAUACCUGCUAGCUGUGACGUUAACAACAGAAGAAGCACCGGCUAACUCCGUGCCAGCAGCCGCGGUAAUACGGAGGGUGCGAGCGUUAAUCGGAAUUACUGGGCGUAAAGCGCACGCAGGCGGUCUGUUAAGCUAGAUGUGAAAGCCCCGCGCUCAACGUGGGAGGGUCAUUUAGAACUGGCAGACUAGAGUCUUG